rnacentral:lncRNA from 1 species
AAGGUGGCUACACUAAAUAACAGAUUGUCAAUGUAGACAAAGUGGUCUUACAUUGGACAAAGAUGCCAUAUAGGACUUUCAUAGCUAGAUGAACAUUUUAAGCCCACUAUUGAGACCUACUGCUCAGAAAAAGAUUCCUUUCAAAACAUUGCUACUCAUUGACAAUGCACCUAGUCACCUAAGAGCUCUGAUAGGGAUGUAAAAGGA